CUGAAACAACAAGCACAUGCCUAUAAGCCAAAAAAAUCCAAGAUUUUAAGUAAAGAAGAAAUAAAGAAAUUUAUUCAGGAAGCUCCAGAUAAGGAAUAUUUAAUGAUUAAGGUAGCUCUAAUAUUUGGAAUUUCGGGAGCUUGCAGAAUGGACGAGCUGGUUAAAAUGACUGUACAAGAUAUACAAGACCUACUAUCUAAACUUUUAGUUACCAUACCGGAUUCAAAAACCAAUACAUCAAGAUCAUUUAUAGUAAACGAAAUGUACUUAAAUCUAUACCGCAAGUAUGUCUCUUUAAGACCAAGAGACAUGAAUACCACUCGGUUUUUUUUAAGUACCAAAAUGAAAAAGGUUGUAGACAAGUAGUAGGAAUUCACCAAUUUAGAAACAUGCCUAAAAUAGUGGCCAGUUAUUUGAAUUUGCCAAACUCGAAAGAAUAUACCGGCCACUGUUUUCGUCGGUCUUCUGCCACAAUGCUUGUUGAUUCUGGUGGAGAUAUUACUAGUUUAAAGAGACUGGGUGGAUGGAAAUCAACAAACGUCGCUGAAGGAUAUAUAGAAGAGUCUCUUACUAAUAAGGAAGAAGUGGCAAAUAAAAUUUUCACAGCAGAAAAAAAUCAAGAAAGUAAAUCUAAUAUUUCUAAUACUGCAGUAACGUCCAAUAUUAGUUAU